rnacentral:misc_RNA from 1 species
UCCACUACUAAUCUACCACUUAGGAUGAUUGUCAUGACCGUAGAUGAACGAUACAGGCAAACGACUAGGAUCACUAGUUCUUCCAACCUGGAAAAGGCCGAGUACCAGGUCUAAGUCUGCUCCGGGAAAUUCUAACGGCAGACACACCAGACUCGUCGAGGGG